rnacentral:rRNA from 1 species
AUACGGAGGGUCCGAGCGUUAAGCGGAAUUACUGGGCGUAAAGCGCGCGUAGGCGGCUAUAUAAGUCAGAUGUGAAAUCCCUGGGCUCAACCUAGGAACUGCAUUUGAAACUGUAUGGCUAGAGUAUGGUAGAGGUGAGUGGAAUUUCAGGUGUAGCGGUGAAAUGCGUAGAGAUCUGAAGGAACAUCAGUGGCGAAGGCGACUCACUGGGCCAUUACUGACGCUGAGGUGCGAAAGCGUGGGUAGCAAACAGGAUUAGAUACCCUAGUAGUCC